rfam:Marine bacterium AO1-C Bin2_contig__6B_len_915437_cov_89.8812_ID_11, whole genome shotgun sequence.
UGCUCUGUGUUCUAAAGGCUUAGGAUACUUCACUUUGACUGAAGUGGUGUGGGUUCGAUUCCCACCAGAGCGU